ACAGGUACUUAGUCACUAGAAGGUGGACAGUGCAACCAGACAGGUAGUUAGUCACUAGAAGGUGGACAGUGCAACCAGACAGGUACUUAGUCACUAGAAGGUGGACAGUGCAACCAGACAGGUACUUAGUCACUAGAAGGUGGACAGUGCAACCAGACAGGUACUUAGUCACUAGAAGGUGGACAGUGCAACCAGACAGGUACUUAGUCACUAGAAGGUGGACAGUGCAACCAGACAGGUACUUAGUCACUAGAAGGUGGACAGUGCAACCAGACAGGUACUUAGUCACUAGAAGGUGGACAGUGCAACCAGACAGGUACUUAGUCACUAGAAGGUGGACAGUGCAACCAGACAGGUACUUAGUCACUAGAAGGUGGACAGUGCAACCAGACAGGUACUUAGUCACUAGAAGGUGGACAGUGCAACCAGACAGGUACUUAGUCACUAGAAGGUGGACAGUGCAACCAGACAGGUGCUUAGUCACUAGAAGGUGGACAGUGCAACCAGACAGGUACUUAGUCACUAGAAGGUGGACAGUGCAACCAGACAGGUACUUAGUCACUAGAAGGUGGACAGUGCAACCAGACAGGUGCUUAGUCACUAGAAGGUGGACAGUGCAACCAGACAGGUGCUUAGUCACUAGAAGGUGGACAGUGCAACCAGACAGGUACUUAGUCACUAGAAGGUGGACAGUGCAACCAGACAGGUACUUAGUCACUAGAAGGUGGACAGUGCAACCAGACAGGUACUUAGUCACUAGAAGGUGGACAGUGCAACCAGACAGGUACUUAGUCACUAGAAGGUGGACAGUGCAACCAGACAGGUACUUAGUCAUUAGAAGGUGGACAGUGCAACCAGACAGGUACUUAGUCACUAGAAGGUGGACAGUGCAACCAGACAGGUACUUAGUCACUAGAAGGUGGACAGUGCAACCAGACAGGUACUUAGUCACUAGAAGGUGGACAGUGCAACCAGACAGGUACUUAGUCACUAGAAGGU